CAAAAAGUAGUUUAAAUAGUUAAAAUAUUAACAUUGGAAGUUAGAGUUUGAGAAAUUAUCUUACUUUUUGA
rnacentral:tRNA from 1 species